GCGAGCGUGGCGGAAUGGCAGACGCACCAGAUUCAGGUUCUGGCGGGGUAACACCCGUGAAGGUUCAAGUCCUUUCGCUCGCA
rnacentral:tRNA from 1 species